rnacentral:rRNA from 1 species
CAUGAAGUCGGAAUUGCUAGUAAUCGCGGAUCAGCAUGCCGCCGGUGAAUAACGUUCCCCGGGGCCCUUGUACACACCGCCCGUCACACCAUGGGAGCCGGUAAUACCCGAAGUCAGUAGUCCAACCUCGUGAGGACGCUGCCGAAGGUAGGAUUGGCGACUGGGGUGAAGUCGUAACAAGGUAGC